rnacentral:misc_RNA from 1 species
AGCUCCUCCAGUUGGGGG